AUUGAACGCUGGCGGCAUGCUUUACACAUGCAAGUCGAACGGCAGCGCGGGCUUCGGCCUGGCGGCGAGUGGCGAACGGGUGAGUAAUGCAUCGGAACGUGCCCAGUAGUGGGGGAUAGCCCGGCGAAAGCCGGAUUAAUACCGCAUACGACCUGAGGGUGAAAGCGGGGGACCGAAAGGCCUCGCGCUAUUGGAGCGGCCGAUGUCGGAUUAGCUAGUUGGUGGGGUAAAGGCUUACCAAGGCGACGAUCCGUAGCUGGUCUGAGAGGGCGACCAGCCACCCUGGGGGCUGGGCACCGGCCCAGCUCCUUCGGGAGGGCGGCGUGGGGGAUUUUUGGAAAAGGGGGGCAACCUUGACCCACCCCUGCGCGGUGGGGGAAGAAGGCCUUCGGUUUGUAAACCGCUUUUUUUGGGAAAAAAAUCCUUGGGCUUAACCCCCCGGGGGGUGACGGGACCCGGAAAAAAAGCCCCCGCCAACUACGUG
rnacentral:rRNA from 1 species